GAUGAACGCUGGCGGCGUGCCUAAUACAUGCAAGUCGAGCGAACGGACGAGAAGCUUGCUUCUCUGAUGUUAGCGGCGGACGGGUGAGUAACACGUGGAUAACCUACCUAUAAGACUGGGAUAACUUCGGGAAACCGGAGCUAAUACCGGAUAAUAUUUUGAACCGCAUGGUUCAAAAGUGAAAGACGGUCUCGCUGUCACUUAUAGAUGGAUCCGCGCUGCAUUAGCUAGUUGGUAAGGUAACGGCUUACCAAGGCAACGAUGCAUAGCCGACCUGAGAGGGUGACCGGCCACACUGGAACUGAGACACGGUCCAGACUCCUACGGGAGGCAGCAGUAGGGAAUCUUCCGCAAUGGGCGAAAGCCUGACGGAGCAACGCCGCGUGAGUGAUGAAGGUCUUCGGAUCGUAAAACUCUGUUAUUAGGGAAGAACAUAUGUGUAAGUAACUGUGCACAUCUUGACGGUACCUAAUCAGAAAGCCACGGCUAACUACGUG
rnacentral:rRNA from 1 species